rnacentral:rRNA from 1 species
GACGAACGCUGGCGGCGUGCCUAACACAUGCAAGUCGAGCGAAUGAAGUUCUUUCGGGAAUGGAUUUAGCGGCGGACGGGUGAGUAACACGUGGGCAACCUGCCUCAUAGAGGGGAAUAGCCUUCCGAAAGGGAGAUUAAUACCGCAUAAGAUUGUAGUACCGCAUGAUACAGCAAUUAAAGGAGCAAUCCGCUAUGAGAUGGGCCCGCGGCGCAUUAGCUAGUUGGUGAGGUGACGGCUCACCAAGGCGACGAUGCGUAGCCGACCUGAGAGGGUGAUCGGCCACAUUGGGACUGAGACACGACCCAGACUCCUACGGGAGGCAGCAGUGGGGAAUAUUGCACAAUGGGGGAAACCCUGAUGCAGCAACGCCGCGUGAGUGAUGACGGCCUUCGGGUUGUAAAGCUCUGUCUUCAGGGACGAUAAUGACGGUACCUGAGGAGGAAGCCACGGCUAACUACGUGCCAGCCGCCGCGGUAACAC